ACAGGGAUUGCCCUAGUAACGGCGAGUGAAGCGGCAACAGCUCAAAUUUGAAAUCUGGCGUCUUUGGCGUCCGAGUUGUAAUUUGCAGAGGGCGCUUUGGCAUUGGCAGCGGUCCAAGUUCCUUGGAACAGGACGUCACAGAGGGUGAGAAUCCCGUACGUGGUCGCUAGCCUUUACCGUGUAAAGCCCCUUCGACGAGUCGAGUUGUUUGGGAAUGCAGCUCUAAAUGGGAGGUAAAUUUCUUCUAAAGCUAAAUACUGGCCAGAGACCGAUAGCGCACAAGUAGAGUGAUCGAAAGAUGAAAAGCACUUUGGAAAGAGAGUUAAAAAGCACGUGAAAUUGUUGAAAGGGAAGCGCUUGCAGCCAGACUUGCCUGUAGUUGCUCAUCCGGGUUUUUACCCGGUGCACUCUUCUACGGGCAGGCCAGCAUCAGUUUGGGCGGUUGGAUAAAGGUCUCUGUCACGUACCUCCUCUCGGGGAGAUCUUAUAGGGGAGACGACAUGCAACCAGCCUGGACUGAGGUCCGCGCAUCUGCUAGGAUGCUGGCGUAAUGGCUGUAAGCGGCCCGUCUUGAAACACGGACCAAGGAGUCUAACAUCUAUGCGAGUGUUUGGGUGUCAAGCCCGAGCGCGUAAUGAAAGUGAACGGAGGUGGGAACCUUUCGGGGUGCACCAUCGACCGAUCCUGAUGUCUUCGGAUGGAUUUGAGUAAGAGCAUAGCUGUUGGGACCCGAAAGAUGGUGAACUAUGCUUGAAUAGGGUGAAGCCAGAGGAAACUCUGGUGGAGGCUCGCAGCGGUUCUGACGUGCAAAUCGAUCGUCAAAUUUGGGCAUAGGGGCGAAAGACUAAUCGAACUAUCUAGUAGCUGGUUCCUGC
rnacentral:rRNA from 1 species